UCUGAUAACCAUGUGUAUAUGACCAGUAACAUCUGAUAACCAUGUGUAUAUGACCAGUAACAUCUGAUAACCAUGUGUAUAUGACCAGUAACAUCUGAUAACCAUGUGUAUAUGACCAGUAACAUCUGAUAACCAUGUGUAUGUGACCAGUAACAUCUGAUAACCAUGUGUAUAUGACCAGUAACAUCUGAUAACCAUGUGUAUAUGACCAGUAACAUCUGAUUUGUAUUUGUCUGUUUCUCACCAUUCAAACAGACAGCGUAAUUCAACCACUAUUAAAACAUAUUUUUUGUGGCCGAACUGAAAUCAAGCUUCACCAGUUGAUAAGCCCUUGAAACAAUAUUUUAUAUAUUAUACUUCAAUAUCCUCACAACAUUGAUAUUCAGCCUGCAACAGAUGAUCCAUCCAUUGUUUUAAUGUUUUAAUUACAGUUGUAUAUAGUCAACAUUUCACUUUUCUUAAUUAAUUUCUCUAUUUCUUCUCAAAUCAGUUUAAAAUGGAAAAACAUACCAGCCUUUGUUUUGUUAUUAGAGUUUCGACAUUGCGGAACCAAUUGUAUUUUUGUAAACUUCAGUUUACUAUUUUUAUUUAGAAAAGUAAGACGAAUGGACUAAAUUAUUGCCACCCCAGAGCUAGUACUUGGUUGCCAAGGUAACUGCUGACAAACACUUCUGGUAGCCGGCAAUGAGCUUCCUUUCUACAGUCAAUUUGGUCCACUCUUCAGCGGUAACCUCUUCAAAUUCUUCAAAGUUUGAGGAGUGUCCUCCACCAACUGCCAUUUUCAGAUCUUACCAUAGGUUCUGGUCAGAACAGAACAGUCCAAGUGUCCUUCUUUGAAAACCAUUCCAGGGUGCUUUUUUGAUGUGUGUUUGAGGUCGUUGUCCUCCUGGGAAGACUCCUCCAACCUUCAAUGGAGACUUAGUUUUUUUGGACACUGGGGUUGAACAUUGGACCUCCAUCAACCCCUGAUAAUCGGCUGAUAUUUGUGAUGCUUUGGGCACACGUUCAAGGCCCCCUCCAGUACAAGAGGCAGCAAAACAAUUCAACAGCGUUAGCGACCCCCCCAUGAUUGACUGUAGGGAAGGUGUUCUUUUCAAUAGCCUAUAUGCUUAUUUUUGGUCAUCUGGAAUCACAGUGUUGAUCUGUAUUGCCAAAAAGCUCUACUUUUGUUUCUUUUGUUUCAUUGGUCCACAGAAUUUUUUUCCCAGAAUUUUAUUUUAUUUUUUUCAAUCAAGCUUUCUUAUGUCUCCUUCAGCAGUGGGGUCUUCCAAUGUUUACCAACGACCAAAGAAAAAUAACACCCUCCCUACAAUCAAACUUGGAGGAUGUUCGAUUUGUCAUGUUUUGAAAUUGUAAACUUCAGUUUGAAAAUCAAAUAACAAUGUGUGGAAUUUUUUUAAAAACUUUUUAUUUCUCCAACUUAUUUUAGAAGAAAUAGGGAAUUACAAAAGUUCAAGUUCAUUCGGAGAGGAUGAGGAAGGGAUGUGGUCAACAGUCAAGACACAUACAUAUUCAUAUACAUUUACAUGAAAGUUAUUGGUGUUUGUUGAUAUUGCAUAUUAAACCA
ensembl:lncRNA